rnacentral:rRNA from 1 species
GACGAACGCUGGCGGCGUGCUUAACACAUGCAAGUCGAACGCUGAAGACCUGGCUUUUGUUGGGUUGGAUGAGUGGCGAACGGGUGAGUAACACGUGAGUAACCUGCCCUCUUCUUUGGGAUAACGCCCGGAAACGGGUGCUAAUACUGGAUAUUCACUGAUCUUCGCAUGGGGGUUGGUGGAAAGGUUUGUUCUGGUGGGGGAUGGGCUCGCGGCCUAUCAGCUUGUUGGCGGGGUGAUGGCCUACCAAGGCUUUGACGGGUAGCCGGCCUGAGAGGGUGACCGGUCACAUUGGGACUGAGAUACGGCCCAGACUCCUACGGGAGGCAGCAGUGGGGAAUAUUGCACAAUGGGCGAAAGCCUGAUGCAGCGACGCCGCGUGAGGGAUGGAGGCCUUCGGGUUGUAAACCUCUUUCGCUCAUGGUCAAGCCGCAACUGUGGGUUGUGGUGAGGGUAGUGGGUAAAGAAGCGCCGGCUAACUACGUG